rnacentral:rRNA from 1 species
UCGAACGGCAGCGCGGGAGCAAUCCUGGCGGCGAGUGGCGAACGGGUGAGUAAUACAUCGGAACGUGCCCAAUCGUGGGGGAUAACGCAGCGAAAGCUGUGCUAAUACCGCAUACGAUCUACGGAUGAAAGCAGGGGAUCGCAAGACCUUGCGCGAAUGGAGCGGCCGAUGGCAGAUUAGGUAGUUGGUGAGGUAAAGGCUCACCAAGCCUUCGAUCUGUAGCUGGUCUGAGAGGACGACCAGCCACACUGGGACUGAGACACGGCCCAGACUCCUACGGGAGGCAGCAGUGGGGAAUUUUGGACAAUGGGCGAAAGCCUGAUCCAGCCAUGCCGCGUGCAGGAUGAAGGCCUUCGGGUUGUGAACUGCUUUUGUACGGAACGAAACGGCCUUUUCUAAUAAAGAGGGCUAAUGACGGUACCGUAAGAAUAAGCACCGGCUAACUACGUGCCAGCAGCCGCGGUAAUACGUAGGGUGCAAGCGUUAAUCGGAAUUACUGGGCGUAAAGCGUGCGCAGGCGGUUAUGUAAGACAGUUGUGAAAUCCCCGGGCUCAACCUGGGAACUGCAUCUGUGACUGCAUAGCUAGAGUACGGUAGAGGGGGAUGGAAUUCCGCGUGUAGCAGUGAAAUGCGUAGAUAUGCGGAGGAACACCGAUGGCGAAGGCAAUCCCCUGGACCUGUACUGACGCUCAUGCACGAAAGCGUG